AGUUGGCCAAAAUGAUAAGCAGAUGCUGCUCAGCCCUGGUGUCUGGAUCUGCGUCGCUCUUGCAAGGGUGGAGAGGAAGGUUUCCUUCCUUAUCUGAUGGCCCCUGCUUUCUUCUGACAGACUAAGUAUAAGGCAGUGCAUCAUUCUUUUCCCGUGAGGAAGUGCUCCCAUCCUCUAAAGGCAGAAGAUGGCUCUUGCUCCCUUGGUGGACAGUGUUCUGCACUAACCUGAGAGGCAAAGGACCAGCCCUGAAUUCCCAGCUGAGUGGAAGAGUAUGUCCCUCUGCAGAUAGGACCCAUGCAUGGAAAUCAGAUGGGUUACAAAUGCAGCACACCUACCCCCAGCCCAGCACUCAGGACCCAGAAUCCAUUCUUAAAUUAGAGAAGGAUGUUGCAGGCCCGUCAAAGAAUCGAAGACAAAUUUUGCUAAUCCUUUUGAGAGAGUCUUUCAGGUUGGUUUGCUCUUCUGGCUGCGUUUGAUCUGCCAAUAGCAAAGCCCAUCUCUAUAGUGAUUGUGGAAUUCUGUCUGAUAUUCCCUGCGUGCCGUGAGCAUGGGGAUUUCAUUUCAUACAUCAUUUCCAGCGAAUACCCUCAGUACAAGGCACAGAAGAAAUUUCUGUCAUACACACACGGAACGCUCACAUCUGUGUGUGCACAUGUACGUGUGUAUGUGUCCACAUGAAUCAAAUCAUGCUUGGCUGAGAGAUACCCUCUAGCUCUGGUUAAAUUCAUGUGAUAAAUUGUAUUAUCCUGUAUCUUUCAGUGCCUCACCUGCACUAUACUGCUUAUUAAUCUCUCUGCCUGGAUCUUUUGUAGUGUUCUGAACCUCUGAGAGUGAUUUCAAAAGGGUUGCCUUUAAAACAACUGGAAAAAAAGCAACCAGCAUAGUAACAGGGGAAACUGCCUUUUUCUUUAUCACCUCCUCCAGAAAAAAAAUACACCAAACUCAUGUCCUGGGACAGAAAGCAUGCACAGAAUGACCCAUUUACAGUCCAAGUUUACAUGUUAACAGGGAUAGAAGGGUGCCCUGCAAAUGGAAUAUUUCUAAUGGGGUAUAGUUGAGCUUUUACCUCUGAGGCAUCAGAUAUUAAUAUGAUCCUGGUUUGUACUUUCUAGAGGUUUCUGCAACAGCAGUUUUGUUUCUUCAGUCUUUUGAGUUCUGUUUAACUAGGCUUGUGGAAAAAAAAGGGAAACACCCUUGCUAAGGGAAUAGAUGUUAAUAAACAAACACAAAAUGUACAAAACCCCUUCAGAUUUUGUGUAUAGGGAACCAAAAAGUGGUGCAGAGCAGUAGGAAAAAUCUGCAUCUCUUCUUGAGAUUACUUACAUGUACUUUCACUACUUGGAGCAAAUCCGGCCAUUCUCAACUCACAGUGAAAACUCCCUCAGACUUAGUCUACCAUGACUUUCCCAUGCUAUUUUAAGGUGCUUUGAAAUUCCUACAUGAGAAAAUUCAAUACAGGUGCCACAUGCAAGUCUUCAUUUCACUGGAACUUUUUUUUGUCCAUUCCUCCUGGUCUUUCAUUGCUUUAAUGCAUUACAGAGUGAAUGAAUAGAUAUAGAAUUAUAGAAUUAUAUCUAUGAAUAGAUAUAUAAUUUAUAGUCCAUUUGGAACCAAGGACAAAGGACUGGAAGAAAACUCCUGAGUCAUCCAAAUCCUCAGAAAUGCAUGGGGCUGCCUCACCUGGCCAUUAUGGAGGCUGUAGGAGCUACUGCUGUGACAAUGUUACCCCUCUCCUGCGGGCAGUUUCCUCACACUACGGGUGCUCGAGGGUCACAGCACAUGUGCAACCCCUCUCCACUACUUCCAGAGGUGACUUCUUGGUUUAGGAGAAUUGGCAGGGCUCAAACUGACACCUCCACCUUGCAUGGCUGUGUCAUUCCCUCUCAUGUGAAGUUUUACCUACUCUCACUCAUAUCUUAAGGAGAUAGCCUCUCUGUGGGCAGCCUAUUUCAAUACCCAGCUUGUCUGUUUUAAGGAAAAAAACCAUGAUAUCUAACCUAAACUUUUUCUUCCUUUAUUUGAGGCUGCUGCUUCUUGUUCUACCUUCUUGUACUACUGUGAAGAAUUCCCUUACUUCAUUAAAGGCACUUCUACAUAUUGGUAAUGUCCCCAGUGAGUGAUCUCUGUAUAAAUUCAGUUCCUCUGAUAUUUUCCCCUAUGUUUUAUACUCUGAUCUCGGUAUCACUUUGGAGGUUAAUCUCUGUAUGUUCUCCAAUGUAGUGUCUAAGUGAUAGGAGAGCCAUAAAGUCUUUUGGGUGGCAUUGUCCUGAAUUUACAUAGCUGUCAUAUCACUCUCCUACUUUCACAUGAGACUUCUUUUUAAUUACAUACAAGAAUACCACUGCUGUAAUUUACUUGGGUUACAACACACAUGUACAUGUUUCACAGAAUAGCUGGAAUAAUAGUCUCAGCCUCUGUCACUUACUGAUUGCUAGAUAGCUCUUCUUCAUCUAUAUCUUUCUCUUUUACUGAUAUUCCCAGAGUAUUAUAUUUGCUGAGACCCCUGUUCAGAGGGCUUUUGGACAUAACCUUGCUGUAUUUUCUGAGUGAUCUCUUUUUUGGUCACUGGCCUGGUACAUGCAACAUUUCUGAGAUGGUGUGAAAUACAAACCUGCAAAACAAGAGCGUAGUUACAAGACAAGUGACCCUGAUUGAAAGGGUGGCUAUGAAAACUGAUUACACAGCAAAUUGCCCAUCUGCACAGGCUUGGAAUAAGAACAUUUCAAAGCUCAUUUGUGGGCUGAUGUUGCCAUUUAAUGCAGUUUCCAACAAAUCAUUCAUAAAAUUAAUGGCCACAACUGAUGCUUGUUUCUCUCAGGCUCUUCUGUGAAAAAUAGUUCUUCCACUGAUUCAGGGAGAUAUGUAAAGGAAUGGGCAUUAUUUGAAGAAAAUUGAAUGAAGUAAUCUUCAACCUGCAGAUGCUUGAGCUGCUGGUAACAUUCUGGGUUACUGCAUAAUUUUGUUCUUCACAAUCCACCCAUCAGUUUUUUCUGUUAUUAAUGCUGCUUUUUUCUGUAGCUUUCAGAAAUGCAUGUAAAGGAACCUGUCCCUUGUCUCCAUGCUGAAUGUCCCUAACACCUGCUUGUUUAUUCUGUGAAUGGUGGUUUGAGGAGCCUUCCCUCUUUUUAAACUUCUCUGCUGCCCAUCAUAUACCCAGAAUAACUUUCUAUAUCUUCUCAAAAAACAGGACUUCACAGCUCAUGUUCCAGGCGUAGAAGUGCCACUUUGGAUUUCCUAUACCCUAAAUGCCUUCUACUCCAGAAUUUGUUUUGGGGGGACUCUGAAUUUGAAAUUAACCUAUUCGGUUUAUAGUAGAAUUGCACAGAGAUUUUGCCAAAGGUUUCACAAACCAGUUGCUACUUAAUCUGACUAAUACAAGAAAUGUUCAAUUCUAAUGAAACAAUUGACUUCUAUGGUUUGUUUCCUGAUGCCUCUGUGUAUCUUUCCAACCGGGGCUAGAUGUCAUUUAAGAACAAUUUCUUCCCAUUUAUUUUGAAUGGGUAACCUUCUAAGUCAUAGAAAUCUAUCUUACUCCUUAGCUGAUAUUUUAUUUUUCCCUGAGAUAGUUUUGGAGUUUGAAAACUUGUCUUGCUGGCAUUUUUUUUGCCCAAGGGUCCCGUGUCUUUGCAGACUCUCCCCAAGAGUCUCAGGCUGCGGUUUCACAGUGUAAAAUGUUGGACAUCAAUAUUAGCUUAACCCGCACCCUUUACCCCAACCACCAUUUCCUACUCUUUCUCCAAGUGGUGCUAUUUUUCAUAUAUCCUGGCAGAAUUGUAGUGGGACAGAGCUAUGAACUGUACCAGAGAAAUUACCCACCUUUUAAAUUCUACUGCUGAAUCCUCCUUCCCCUCUUAAAUAAUAGUAUUAAAACAUAGCCCCAGCUUCAAUACCUUUUAAAAUCAAAUAUUAACAAUUAAUCAUUAUUUGUUGCAUGAAGAUUUUCCAGUCAAAACACAGAUCUUCACCAGGAAGGAGCAAGAAAACUGCUGUUUGUCAAGCACUGGAGGAAACUCUCCUUUGUGUACCAAUAGUUUGCUGGUCACAACCUGCUCAGAGAAGGACAAACAGUCCUCUUCCUGUCUCUUUAGCAUGAGAAGGUGAGACUUUGUGUACUUUGUAGGAUGGCUGCAGUACACAGCCAUUCACACAGUAUAUAAGCCAAACUGAAUUUCAGAUGAAAUUUGUAGAAAUGUGUUAACAUGGAGAAAUGGUUUUGGAGAAAAGGACUUUGCUGUUACAGGGAUUUCAGUUCUGAUUUGGAAUGUGGCUUGAUUAAAGUCUCCCUGUCUGAUUAUGAUCCCAGACUAAUUUUACACUGGCAUAGUUCCAUGAACGUCCAUGCAAUAGAUAUAAGUGUAACCCAAGGGACACUCAGACCCUGAGCACUCUGAAUCUCUGGAUCAAUGCACAGCUACCUGUAUGCAUCACGCUGUGUAUUAUUCUUGUUAACCAUCAGAGAUUUCCUGCAGAAAAUGGGAAACACAGGGAUCCUCG